rnacentral:lncRNA from 1 species
AGAUUUCUUUCUUCAAAAAAACUGAAAAAGUAAAAAAAAUACACCGAACGGUGUAAAAAUUCGCUGAAAACAAAAAAAAACUCAAAACCAAAACAGCUAAAAACCUCAAAAUAAAACUAGACUAACAAAACCUUUUUACAAUAUGCAUAGAUCUACAAAACAAAUCGAACCAUUCAAAUUUGAUUUACGUUGGGCUCGUUUCGGGUUACUUAUACUCAGGGGUGAAGUCACAUUAGGGCAAGGGGGUCAAUUGACCCAAUUGAAAAAAAAUUACACUAUUUUUUUGAAUAUAAUUUUUCGUAAAUAUAAUUUCAACCCCACAAAAAUUAUUAAUUUGUCCUUAAAUUUUAUAAAUUCUAUAAUUCUGACUCCACUUAACAUAAAAUUUAGUUUUUUUGACCUUGCUGAAUAUAAAUUCUAGCUUUUUAAUUUUGCUAAACAUUAAUUUUGGCUUCUUCCUUGCGUAUACUUAUUUUAUAGCUUAUUAUGUUUUCAAGUAAGUCUCAACAGAUCGUUGUUUUCCUUAGUUCAAAUUGUUGACUAGACUCGUUGUUUCGGACCUCAGAUUGCUAAGUAUCUUGGUGAACAAGAGUUGUGACUAAUUAAUGCAGAAGACUUUCGCCUGUGACAAGUACAGUCCAUGCGAAUCACGAGUGCAACUCAUAACACAUUAGGGUAUGAUAAAUCACACAUGUUCAUCAAUUAAAAAAAUAAAAAUAAAUUGAUAUUAAUUGUUGAAAGAUACUAAUUUUAUAAGUAAUGAAAGAAAGAAAUUUUUUCCAAAGAAUGAUAUGACAAUGACAUUUAAAUAUAUAAAUAUUAUCUUAAUAAGUAAAAAAAUCACAUUUAGUCACAUUAUUUGGUUAGGAACAAGACAAUAAUAUCAACCCAACAAUUCCCCAUGCUAGUUCUAUUAGGAAAUCAACGCAAUAACAUAUAUUAAGCUAUGCAAUGAACCUCAGGAUUCGUGUGAGUGGUAGUCACAUCUCAUUAAGCCUUUGAUCUGGAGUUCACCUUCCAUCCGCACGUAUCAAAUCAUGUGUUAGGUCAGUCCAUACGAGGCUUUAAAUGAACUCUCACUUAUAGACGAUGAAAUUAGUCUCGAAUUAGCCGAUCCAUUGAGUUGCAUAUGGACUUAUCAAAAGAUAUGCAACGAACAACAUUAUUGUUCAAGGCAUUUUUAAUUCCAUGGUUUCCUAAAAACAGCCGCCCUUCCAUGCCCCGCCCCAUGGGCCAUGCCUCUAAGAUGGUGCAGCUUAGUUAAUGAACCAACACGACCGUAGUAGGUGCAUUGUGUUGAAUAAGUGAUAGAUGUCUCUUUAGUCUGUAUAUAAGCCAUAAAUAAUAGUCUCUUUGAAAUCAGUUUUUGGAUUUAAGAAUGUAUAGGAUUUGACAGAGCAAGAGCUCUGAGGUUUCUCCCUCUAACCCGAGCGUUAACCCUAGGUUAGGAUUUUCUUCUCUCUAAGAUUUUGAGUUUCAAAUGCAUUUUGAUUGCAUCAGACCAAGUCCAAAGAAUAAACAAGAAAGAAAAGAAGGUUUUAUGAAUCUCAUAUUAUGUCAAUGAUGGCGGCACCUAGUCUACAGUAACCGGCAGUCACAAGCCUUUAGUAAUGAGGUACCAGAACCAAUAUGAGAGAGAAUGAGCAACAUUAUUCGUAGCAUUUGUCUUAAUGGCGAAGGAAAUUCGGAAUUAUAAAUACCUUGUAUUAAGAGGAUCAUGUCUCUUCUUUACUAGGCCUCUUGUUCUUCUCAUAUCUCACUUGUGUUCAGCCCUGAGCUCAUACCAUUGGCGUCCACAACACCUGAUUCAGGAAAAUGUUUGCUCAAACUCUGAUACUAGGAAGAAAAUAACUACGAAAGGACUGUCAAGUUCACCUUCUGUAGAUUCUAAAACACAUCAAAAAUUUCUAAAAUUAUAGUUUAGUCCCUGUAGUUUUUAAAAAUUACACUUUAAUCCCUGGAAUUACCAAAAAUUAUAAUUUGGUUCCUACAAUUUUCAAAAAUUACAGUUUGGUCCCCAAGAUUUCUAAUUUUGAUAGUUUGGUCCCUAAAGUUUUUAAUUUUUCAGUUUAGUCCUUCUUAAGUUUUUUCUGCAUUCCGGACUCAUCCGUGUGGUCAAUAUUUGCAUAUUUUGAUCUUAUAUAUCAGUUUGGAUGGAAUUAAGUUGUUUAGAUGGCAAAAGAUCAUGUCACUAUAUCAAUAUGAUUUUCUUUGGACUAAUCUUCUCUAACAUUACAUCUCCUUCAUUCAGAAUUUCUCGAAUAAAAUAAAACCGAACAUCAAUAUAUUUGGUGCGGGAAUGAUGAAUUUGGUUCUUAGCCAAACAAAUUGCACUUUGACUAUCACAAUAGAAAUCAACAUGCUUCUGAUUAAUUCUCAAAUAAUUUAUCAAACCAUGAAACCACAUAACUUCUUUGAAGGCUUCUGUCACUGCCAUAUACUCUAUCUCAGUAGUAGACAAAACAACUGUAGACUGAAGAGUAGAACGCCAACUAAUCGG